rnacentral:rRNA from 1 species
CCUUGGGACACUUCGAAUUGCGAACUGCAUUCGAAUCAUCUAGCUGGCAUUCGUUUACGGCUGGGACUACCGGGGUAUCUAAUCCGGUUCGCUCCCCAAGCUUUCACCCUUCACCGUCGAAGCGCGUUCUGCGGACCGCCUUCGCCACUGGUGGUUCUCCGCGGAUCAAAGGAUUUUACCCCUACCCGGGAAGUACCUUCACCUUCUCCCGAUCCCAAAGCGAAGCAGUGUCUCCGGCGUUCGGACCGCUGGGCGGGCCCGAUUUACCCGAAGAUUUGCCCGGCCAGCUACGGACGCUUUAGGCUCAAUAAUAAUGAGCACCACUCGGGCCGCGGGUAUUACCGCGGCGGGCUGGCACCCGUCUUACCCGGCCCUUACUUCUCGAGCUUUUUAGGCUCGAGAACAGACUACACAUAGUGUAGACACUUGGAGUUCCCCCAUCGUGGUUGCCCACAUUGUGGAGGUUUCGCGCCUGCUGCGUCCCGUAGGACCUGGAUUCGUGUCUCAGAAUCCAUCUCCGGGCGACUUCUCCCAAAGCCCGUACCCGUCUAUGGCUAGGGGGUCCGUGAAACCCCCUACUACCUGAUAGGCCGCAGACCCAUCCUCGAGCCCCGCAGGGUUUGGGCCUGAGGGCCUUCCAUCAUCUCAGACCUGUCGGGUAUUAUCCCCAGUUUCCCGGGGUUAUCCCCGUCUCGAGGGCAGAUUGUCCACGUGUUACUGAAAMCGUAAGGGCGAAUUCCAGCACACUGGCGGCCGUUACUAGUGGAUCCGAGAACGGUACCAAGC